UGCCGAAUGCUUUGUUAUGGUACCGGAGUAGCGUGCUGUAUAGAGGUGACAGUGGCGUGACAGAGGUGGUGGAGGUUAUUAAUGCACCAAGGAACAGGUGUGUAUGGGAGAACGCCGAUCCUAAGGCUACACCGACAGCAAGUGCUGGGUGACUCCCAACUCAAGCUCAAGCUCAAGCUCAAGCAACAUGUGCACGUUCUCGCUCCCAUGGAAUUUGAGCCUUGAGGAGAUAAGAGAUUCCCCAUUAGCUAGUGUUUUUUUUUAGCUGAAAAUGAGUGACUCUCCUCUCUCUCAUUGAAGGGAGACCUGUCGUUGUGUCUAAAUGACAGGCUCCCAGUAUACAGAACAACAAGAAGGCCUGGGAGGAAAUAACGCCAGCAUUAUGCAGAAAUAGGUUUCCCCCAGCUAAGAAUAUGAUGUGAUCUAGAUUUAAACAUCAUGAAAACACAAAAUGUAAUAGUAUUCUUCUCAUAACUACCUUACUAAUAGUCCCAUUCUCUUCCUCAUUUCACCUCAUUUAUUUGUUUAGUGAUGCACUAAUCAGACAUUUCAUCAGCCACACUUUAUUCUGUGAUCUAUAUUUUACGAACAUGAAAAAAAAAAUGUAAUACUACUCAUGUAUGGAUCAUGUUUUGAUAUAGAUAUUGUACAUAUGCACACA